GCCGCAUUGGUCGAGCAGGGAAGACGCCGGAUUCUCGAUCCGGAGGCCGCGGGUUCGAGUCCCGCAUGCGGUA
rnacentral:tRNA from 1 species